rnacentral:rRNA from 1 species
AGAGUUUGAUCCUGGCUCAGGAUGAACGCUGGCGGCAUGCCAAUACAUGCAAGUCGAACGAGAGGAAGGAGAGCUUGCUUUCCUGAAUCUAGUGGCGAACGGGUGAGUAACACGUAGGUAACCUGCCCAUGUGCCCGGGAUAACUUCUGGAAACGGAUGCUAAAACCGGAUAGGUAGCAGACAAGCAUUUGACUGCUAUUAAAGUGGCUAAGGCCAUGAACAUGGAUGGACCUGCGGUGCAUUAGCUAGUUGGUGAGGUAACGGCCCACCAAGGCGACGAUGCAUAGCCGGCCUGAGAGGGCGGACGGCCACAUUGGGACUGAGACACGGCCCAAACUCCUACGGGAGGCAGCAGUAGGGAAUUUUCGUCAAUGGGGGGAACCCUGAACGAGCAAUGCCGCGUGAGUGAGGAAGGUCUUCGGAUCGUAAAGCUCUGUUGUAAGAGAAAAACGACAUUCAUAGGGAAUGAUGAGUGAGUGAUGGUAUCUUACCAGAAAGUCACGGCUAACUACGUGCCAGCAGCCGCGGUAAUACGUAGGUGGCGAGCGUUAUCCGGAAUGAUUGGGCGUAAAGGGUGCGUAGGUGGCAGAUCAAGUCUGGAGUAAAAGGUAUGGGCUCAACCCGUACUGGCUCUGGAAACUGAUCAGCUAGAGAACAGAAGAGGACGGCGGAACUCCAUGUGUAGCGGUAAAAUGCGUAGAUAUAUGGAAGAACACCGGUGGCGAAGGCGGCCGUCUGGUCUGGAUUCUGACACUGAAGCACGAAAGCGUGGGGAGCAAAUAGGAUUAGAUACCCUAGUAGUCCACGCCAUAAACGAUGAGAACUAGGUGUUGGGGGAAUAACUCAGUGCCGCAGUUAACGCAGUAAGUUCUCCGCCUGGGGAGUAUGCACGCAAGUGUGAAACUCAAAGGAAUUGACGGGGGCCCGCACAAGCGGUGGAGUAUGUGGUUUAAUUCGAAGCAACGCGAAGAACCUUACCAGGCCUUGACAUCCCUUGCAGAGGUAUAGAGAUAUAUCCGAGGUUACCAAGGAGACAGGUGGUGCAUGGUUGUCGUCAGCUCGUGUCGUGAGAUGUUGGGUAAAGUCCCGCAACGAGCGCAACCCCUAUCCCCAGUAGCCAGCGGUCCGGCUGGGCACUCUGAGGAGACUGCCAGGGAUAACCUGGAGGAAGGCGGGGAUGACGUCAAAUCAUCAUGCCCCUUAUGAUUUGGGCUACACACGUGCUACAAUGGCGUAAACAAAGGGAAGCGAGCCUGCGAAGGUAAGCAAAUCCCAAAAAUAACGUCCCAGUUCGGACUGCAGUCUGCAACUCGACUGCACGAAGCUGGAAUCGCUAGUAAUCGCGGAUCAGAAUGCCGCGGUGAAUACGUUCCCGGGUCUUGUACACACCGCCCGUCACACCAUGGGAGUCAGUAACGCCCGAAGUCAGUGACCUAACUGCAAAGAAGGAGCUGCCGAAGGCGGGACCGAUGACUGGGGUGAAGUCGUAACAAGGUA